rnacentral:rRNA from 1 species
AACGCUAGCCACAGGCCUCACACAUGCAAGUUCGAGGGGGCAGCACGGUCUUAGCCUGCUAAGGCCGAAGGCGACCGGCGCACGGGCGAGUAACACGUAUCCAACUCUGCUCGUCUACUCUCGGACAGCCUUCUGAAAGGAAGAUUAAUACAAGAUGGCAUCAUGAGUCCGCAUGUUUCACAUGAUUAAAGGUAUUCCGGUAGACGAUGGGGAUGCGUUCCAUUAGAUAGUAGGCGGGGUAACGGCCCACCUAGUCUUCGAUGGAUAGGGGUUCUGAGAGGAAGGUCCCCCACAUUGGAACUGAGACACGGUCCAAACUCCUACGGGAGGCAGCAGUGAGGAAUAUUGGUCAAUGGGCGAGAGCCUGAACCAGCCAAGUAGCGUGAAGGAUGACUGCCCUAUGGGUUGUAAACUUCUUUUAUAAAGGAAUAAAGUCGGGUAUGGAUACCCGUUUGCAUGUACUUUAUGAAUAAGGAUCGGCUAACUCCGUGCCAGCAGCCGCGGUAAUACGGAGGAUCCGAGCGUUAUCCGGAUUUAUUGGGUUUAAAGGGAGCGUAGAUGGAUGUUUAAGUCAGUUGUGAAAGUUUGCGGCUCAACCGUAAAAUUGCAGUUGAUACUGGAUAUCUUGAGUGCAGUUGAGGCAGGCGGAAUUCGUGGUGUAGCGGUGAAAUGCUUAGAUAUCACGAAGAACUCCGAUUGCGAAGGCAGCCUGCUAAGCUGCAACUGACAUUGAGGCUCGAAAGUGUGGGUAUCAAACAGGAUUAGAUACCCUGGUAGUCCACACGGUAAACGAUGAAUACUCGCUGUUUGCGAUAUACUGCAAGCGGCCAAGCGAAAGCGUUAAGUAUUCCACCUGGGGAGUACGCCGGCAACGGUGAAACUCAAAGGAAUUGACGGGGGCCCGCACAAGCGGAGGAACAUGUGGUUUAAUUCGAUGAUACGCGAGGAACCUUACCCGGGCUUAAAUUGCAGAUGAAUUACGGUGAAAGCCGUAAGCCGCAAGGCAUCUGUGAAGGUGCUGCAUGGUUGUCGUCAGCUCGUGCCGUGAGGUGUCGGCUUAAGUGCCAUAACGAGCGCAACCCUUGUUGUCAGUUACUAACAGGUUCCGCUGAGGACUCUGACAAGACUGCCAUCGUAAGAUGUGAGGAAGGUGGGGAUGACGUCAAAUCAGCACGGCCCUUACGUCCGGGGCUACACACGUGUUACAAUGGGGGGUACAGAGGGCUGCUACCACGCAAGUGGAUGCCAAUCCCAAAAACCUCUCUCAGUUCGGAUUGAAGUCUGCAACCCGACUUCAUGAAGCUGGAUUCGCUAGUAAUCGCGCAUCAGCCACGGCGCGGUGAAUACGUUCCCGGGCCU